CACGUAGGGAGCAAGCGUUGUCCGGAAUCAUUGGGCGUAAAGAGCGCGUAGGCGGCCGUGUAAGUCCGUUCUGAAAGUCGGAGGCUCAACCUCCGAAAGCGGAUGGAUACUGCACGGCUAGAGUCCGGAAGAGGCGAGUGGAAUUCCUGGUGUAGCGGUGGAAUGCGCAGAUAUCAGGAGGAACACCAACGGCGAAGGCAGCUCGCUGGGACGGUACUGACGCUGAGGCGCGAAAGCGUGGGGAGCAAACAGG
rnacentral:rRNA from 1 species